rnacentral:rRNA from 1 species
CUGGCUCAGGAUGAACGCUAGCGGCAGGCUUAACACAUGCAAGUCGAGGGGCAGCGAGGGUAAUAGCAAUAUUACCUGUCGGCGACCGGCGCACGGGUGCGUAACGCGUAUGCAACCUACCAUCAACAGGGGGAUAACACUGAGAAAUUGGUACUAAUACCCCAUAAUAUCUCAUGCGGCAUCGCAUGGGGUUGAAAACUCCGGUGGUUGAUGAUGGGCAUGCGUUGUAUUAGCUGGUUGGUGAGGUAACGGCUCACCAAGGCGACGAUACAUAGGGGGACUGAGAGGUUAACCCCCCACAUUGGUACUGAGACACGGACCAAACUCCUACGGGAGGCAGCAGUGAGGAAUAUUGGUCAAUGGACGGAAGUCUGAACCAGCCAUGCCGCGUGCAGGAAGACGGCUCUAUGAGUUGUAAACUGCUUUUGUACAAGGGUAAACCUGAAUACGUGUAUUCAGCUGAAAGUACUGUACGAAUAAGGAUCGGCUAACUCCGUGCCAGCAGCCGCGGUAAUACGGAGGAUCCGAGCGUUAUCCGGAUUUAUUGGGUUUAAAGGGUGCGUAGGCGGUUUGAUAAGUUAGAGGUGAAAUGUCGGGGCUCAACCCCGAAACUGCCUCUAAUACUGUUGGACUAGAGAAUAGUUGCGGUAGGCGGAAUGUAUGGUGUAGCGGUGAAAUGCUUAGAGAUCAUACAGAACACCGAUUGCGAAGGCAGCUUACCAAACUAUAUCUGACGUUGAGGCACGAAAGCGUGGGUAGCAAACAGGAUUAGAUACCCUGGUAGUCCACGCAGUAAACGAUGAUAACUCGUUGUCGGCGAUACACAGUCGGUGACUAAGCGAAAGCGAUAAGUUAUCCACCUGGGGAGUACGUUCGCAAGAAUGAAACUCAAAGGAAUUGACGGGGGCCCGCACAAGCGGAGGAACAUGUG